GAAAAGCCCAUUUCCUUUUCUUUCCCUCCUCUUUAUAGUGUCUGCUCCCGUAAAGCUUGAUUCGCACUGCAAAAACCAACAAUGGAGAUCACGUGGAGAGCCUUCGCUAAUGCCAAGGAAAAGGUCGGCCGCUUGGUGGAGGAAGAGACGCCGUGACGCUUUAAGAAGGCCUGUUACUUCCACUCCCAAAGUCGAAUUUCCAGAUAAACAAACAGAGUAGAGAGAGAUUGGAACGAAGAAGUCGUCCAUGGAGAUUCUCGGCCUUCAGAUGAGAAUCGGAGAUUUCACGGCUAUUAGGUAGAAGUGUAAUCGAAGCCAUCAUUCCCGUCUCCAUGCUUAGCUUGCUCUUCCUCUGUUGCGGUUGCUAUAAUUGGACAUUGAAGCUUGCUGAUUGCAACGUUAUCGCUGAUGAUCACAAUUCUUCCUCUGAUGUUUAAAUUUCUUUGGGUUUUCUAUUCUGCUUAAGAAAUUUUAUUCUUGUGGCAACAUGCUAUGCAAUUUUUCUCAGUUUACGAUAGAGAUUAUUCGGAGGCUCUUAAACACUACCUGGAAUGUGCCAAUUGGGAAAAAGCUCAUAUAUUUGUAUACAACUAAACAUUUAGAAAUAUGAAGGCUUGCAACUUCGAUAGAGGACCACAAGUUAGAAAUUGACAAACGCUAUUUGGGAGCUCGAAUUUAUGUUUCAUUCUAUUUAUUGAGAAGUUCAUUACUAGAAGAUAACAAUCCUAUAGGUGAAUUGGUAAGAGAAUCUAUCAAGUAUAUUUAGGCUAAGCUGCUUAAUACGGGUGUAUAAGACAUCUUGAAUUCUAGCAUUUGUGAUAGGAGCAUGGGAAUUAUUCACUAUCGCAGUCCCAUUUGCUGCAAAUUUGCACCAAUUCUUUACGCACUGAAUCUGCAUCAUAUCUUUAGGUCGAUCAACUAAUUACACAGGUCAAGGGUUUCAUCAAUGCGAAGUGUAUUAGUUCUUCUUAAUAUUAGUUUGUUUUAGUUGAAAUAAAUUUAUUAUUUAUUCUGGAAGUAGAAUUAUUAGCUAUUAGCUAGAGCCUUGAGCCUAGAGGGAUAUUUAUAUUAAUAUGAGACAAAACAAAGAAUAGCAAGAUAGUUUGUGUGUAUUAAAGAAAGAAAUCAAGAUGUGGAAAACAAGAAAGAGAUUCUCUACAA